GGGUUGUGAGGUUAAGCGACUAAGCGUACACGGUGGAUGCCCUGGCAGUCAGAGGCGAUGAAGGACGUGCUAAUCUGCGAUAAGCGUCGGUAAGGUGAUAUGAACCGUUAUAACCGGCGAUUUCCGAAUGGGGAAACCCAGUGUGAUUCGUCACACUAUCAUUAACUGAAUCCAUAGGUUAAUGAGGCGAACCGGGGGAACUGAAACAUCUAAGUACCCCGAGGAAAAGAAAUCAACCGAGAUUCCCCCAGUAGCGGCGAGCGAACGGGGAGGAGCCCAGAGCCUGAAUCAGUGUGUGUGUUAGUGGAAGCGUCUGGAAAGGCGCGCGAUACAGGGUGACAGCCCCGUACACAAAAAUGCACAUGCUGUGAGCUCGAUGAGUAGGGCGGGACACGUGGUAUCCUGUCUGAAUAUGGGGGGACCAUCCUCCAAGGCUAAAUACUCCUGACUGACCGAUAGUGAACCAGUACCGUGAGGGAAAGGCGAAAAGAACCCCGGCGAGGGGAGUGAAAAAGAACCUGAAACCGUGUACGUACAAGCAGUGGGAGCACGCUUAGGCGUGUGACUGCGUACCUUUUGUAUAAUGGGUCAGCGACUUAUAUUCUGUAGCAAGGUUAACCGAAUAGGGGAGCCGAAGGGAAACCGAGUCUUAACUGGGCGUUAAGUUGCAGGGUAUAGACCCGAAACCCGGUGAUCUAGCCAUGGGCAGGUUGAAGGUUGGGUAACACUAACUGGAGGACCGAACCGACUAAUGUUGAAAAAUUAGCGGAUGACUUGUGGCUGGGGGUGAAAGGCCAAUCAAACCGGGAGAUAGCUGGUUCUCCCCGAAAGCUAUUUAGGUAGCGCCUCGUGAAUUCAUCUCCGGGGGUAGAGCACUGUUUCGGCAAGGGGGUCAUCCCGACUUACCAACCCGAUGCAAACUGCGAAUACCGGAGAAUGUUAUCACGGGAGACACACGGCGGGUGCUAACGUCCGUCGUGAAGAGGGAAACAACCCAGACCGCCAGCUAAGGUCCCAAAGUCAUGGUUAAGUGGGAAACGAUGUGGGAAGGCCCAGACAGCCAGGAUGUUGGCUUAGAAGCAGCCAUCAUUUAAAGAAAGCGUAAUAGCUCACUGGUCGAGUCGGCCUGCGCGGAAGAUGUAACGGGGCUAAACCAUGCACCGAAGCUGCGGCAGCGACGCUGAUGCGUUGUUGGGUAGGGGAGCGUUCUGUAAGCCUGCGAAGGUGUGCUGUGAGGCAUGCUGGAGGUAUCAGAAGUGCGAAUGCUGACAUAAGUAACGAUAAAGCGGGUGAAAAGCCCGCUCGCCGGAAGACCAAGGGUUCCUGUCCAACGUUAAUCGGGGCAGGGUGAGUCGACCCCUAAGGCGAGGCCGAAAGGCGUAGUCGAUGGGAAACAGGUUAAUAUUCCUGUACUUGGUGUUACUGCGAAGGGGGGACGGAGAAGGCUAUGUUGGCCGGGCGACGGUUGUCCCGGUUUAAGCGUGUAGGCUGGUUUUCCAGGCAAAUCCGGAAAAUCAAGGCUGAGGCGUGAUGACGAGGCACUACGGUGCUGAAGCAACAAAUGCCCUGCUUCCAGGAAAAGCCUCUAAGCAUCAGGUAACAUCAAAUCGUACCCCAAACCGACACAGGUGGUCAGGUAGAGAAUACCAAGGCGCUUGAGAGAACUCGGGUGAAGGAACUAGGCAAAAUGGUGCCGUAACUUCGGGAGAAGGCACGCUGAUAUGUAGGUGAAGCGACUUGCUCGUGGAGCUGAAAUCAGUCGAAGAUACCAGCUGGCUGCAACUGUUUAUUAAAAACACAGCACUGUGCAAACACGAAAGUGGACGUAUACGGUGUGACGCCUGCCCGGUGCCGGAAGGUUAAUUGAUGGGGUCAGCGCAAGCGAAGCUCUUGAUCGAAGCCCCGGUAAACGGCGGCCGUAACUAUAACGGUCCUAAGGUAGCGAAAUUCCUUGUCGGGUAAGUUCCGACCUGCACGAAUGGCGUAAUGAUGGCCAGGCUGUCUCCACCCGAGACUCAGUGAAAUUGAACUCGCUGUGAAGAUGCAGUGUACCCGCGGCAAGACGGAAAGACCCCGUGAACCUUUACUAUAGCUUGACACUGAACAUUGAGCCUUGAUGUGUAGGAUAGGUGGGAGGCUUUGAAGUGUGGACGCCAGUCUGCAUGGAGCCGACCUUGAAAUACCACCCUUUAAUGUUUGAUGUUCUAACGUUGACCCGUGAUCCGGGUUGCGGACAGUGUCUGGUGGGUAGUUUGACUGGGGCGGUCUCCUCCUAAAGAGUAACGGAGGAGCACGAAGGUUGGCUAAUCCUGGUCGGACAUCAGGAGGUUAGUGCAAUGGCAUAAGCCAGCUUGACUGCGAGCGUGACGGCGCGAGCAGGUGCGAAAGCAGGUCAUAGUGAUCCGGUGGUUCUGAAUGGAAGGGCCAUCGCUCAACGGAUAAAAGGUACUCCGGGGAUAACAGGCUGAUACCGCCCAAGAGUUCAUAUCGACGGCGGUGUUUGGCACCUCGAUGUCGGCUCAUCACAUCCUGGGGCUGAAGUAGGUCCCAAGGGUAUGGCUGUUCGCCAUUUAAAGUGGUACGCGAGCUGGGUUUAGAACGUCGUGAGACAGUUCGGUCCCUAUCUGCCGUGGGCGCUGGAGAACUGAGGGGGCUGCUCCUAGUACGAGAGGACCGGAGUGGACGCAUCACUGGUGUUCGGGUUGUCAUGCCAAUGGCACUGCCCGGUAGCUAAAUGCGGAAGAGAUAAGUGCUGAAAGCAUCUAAGCACGAAACUUGCCCCGAGAUGAGUUCUCCCUGACUCCUUGAGAGUCCUGAAGGAACGUUGAAGACGACGACGUUGAUAGGCCGGGUGUGUAAGCGCAGCGAUGCGUUGAGCUAACCGGUACUAAUGAACCGUGAGGCUUAACCUUACAACGCCGAAGGUGUUU
rnacentral:rRNA from 1 species